rnacentral:rRNA from 1 species
UACGUAGGGUCCGCGCGUUGUCCGGAAUUAUUGGGCGUAAAGGGCUCGUAGGCGGUUCGUCACGUCGGGAGUGAAAACUCGGAGCUUAACUCCGAGCCUGCUUCCGAUACGGGCAGACUAGAGGUAGGCAGGGGAGAGCGGAACUCCUGGUGGAGCGGUGGAAUGCGCAGAUAUCAGGAAGAACACCGGUGGCGAAGGCGGCUCUCUGGGCCUUACCUGACGCUGAGGAGCGAAAGCGUGGGUAGCGAACAGG